GACGAACGCUGGCGGCGUGCUUAACACAUGCAAGUCGAACGGAAAGGCCCUGCUUUUGUGGGGUGCUCGAGUGGCGAACGGGUGAGUAACACGUGAGUAACCUGCCCUUGACUUUGGGAUAACUUCAGGAAACUGGGGCUAAUACCGGAUAGGAGCUCCUGCUGCAUGGUGGGGGUUGGAAAGUUUCGGCGGUUGGGGAUGGACUCGCGGCUUAUCAGCUUGUUGGUGGGGUAGUGGCUUACCAAGGCUUUGACGGGUAGCCGGCCUGAGAGGGUGACCGGCCACAUUGGGACUGAGAUACGGCCCAGACUCCUACGGGAGGCAGCAGUGGGGAAUAUUGCACAAUGGGCGGAAGCCUGAUGCAGCAACGCCGCGUGCGGGAUGACGGCCUUCGGGUUGUAAACCGCUUUCGCCUGUGACGAAGCGUGAGUGACGGUAAUGGGUAAAGAAGCACCGGCUAACUACGUGCCAGCAGCCGCGGUGAUACGUAGGGUGCGAGCGUUGUCCGGAUUUAUUGGGCGUAAAGGGCUCGUAGGUGGUUGAUCGCGUCGGAAGUGUAAUCUUGGGGCUUAACCCUGAGCGUGCUUUCGAUACGGGUUGACUUGAGGAAGGUAGGGGAGAAUGGAAUUCCUGGUGGAGCGGUGGAAUGCGCAGAUAUCAGGAGGAACACCAGUGGCGAAGGCGGUUCUCUGGGCCUUUCCUGACGCUGAGGAGCGAAAGCGUGGGGAGCGAACAGGCUUAGAUACCCUGGUAGUCCACGCUGUAAACGGUGGGUACUAGGUGUGGGGUCCAUUCCACGGGUUCCGUGCCGUAGCUAACGCUUUAAGUACCCCGCCUGGGGAGUACGGCCGCAAGGCUAAAACUCAAAGGAAUUGACGGGGCCCCGCACAAGCGGCGGAGCAUGCGGAUUAAUUCGAUGCAACGCGUAGAACCUUACCUGGGUUUGACAUGGAUCGGGAGCGCUCAGAGAUGGGUGUGCCUCUUUUGGGGUCGGUUCACAGGUGGUGCAUGGCUGUCGUCAGCUCGUGUCGUGAGAUGUUGGGUUAAGUCCCGCAACGAGCGCAACCCUUGUUCACUGUUGCCAGCACGUUAUGGUGGGGACUCAGUGGAGACCGCCGGGGUCAACUCGGAGGAAGGUGGGGAUGACGUCAAGUCAUCAUGCCCCUUAUGUCCAGGGCUUCACGCAUGCUACAAUGGCUGGUACAGAGAGUGGCGAGCCUGUGAGGGUGAGCGAAUCUCGGAAAGCCGGUCUCAGUUCGGAUCGGGGUCUGCAACUCGACCUCAUGAAGUCGGAGUCGCUAGUAAUCGCAGAUCAGCAACGCUGCGGUGAAUACGUUCCCGGGGCUUGUACACACCGCCCGUCAAGUCAUGAAAGUUGGUAACACCCGAAGCCGGUGGCCUAACCGUUGUGGGGGAGCCGUCGAAGGUGGGACUGGUGAUUAGGACU
rnacentral:rRNA from 1 species